CGAGUGGCGGACGGGUGAGUAACGGCGUGGGUAACCUGCCUUACACAGGGGGAGUAACACCUGGAAACAGGUGCUAAUACCGCAUAAGCGCACAGGGCCGCAUGGCCCGGUGUGAAAAACUCCGGUGGUGUAAGAUGGACCCGCGUCUGAUUAGCUUGUUGGCGGGGUAGAGGCCCACCAAGGCGACGAUCAGUAGCCGGCCUGAGAGGGUGGACGGCCACAUUGGGACUGAGACACGGCCCAAACUCCUACGGAAGGCAGCAG
rnacentral:rRNA from 1 species